ACGGGAUUACCCACGCGCGCACGACUCGUGGCUACUUCGGACGAAUAAUAAACCGCACUGUCAAAAACAAGGAAACCGCAUCGUCGCCCCAUCCUCGCUUUUUUUCUCCACCGAUGCAUCAUUGGCGCCGCCGUGAACUUCUCCAACAACCGGAUGGUGAAAUCCUGCCCGCGUCCCGCCGCCAGCACGCACCACCACGGCAUCACGCCGCCGGCACGCACCACCACAGCAUCACGCCGCCGGCACGCACCAGGUUUGCCAUAUCCUCGAGUCUGGGUGAGAUCCGCCGGCCACAACCGAGUACGCGUGAAGACAUAAGUGUUGUGCUGCAGAUCAGAUCCGCCGGUCACAACCGAGUACGCGUGAAGACAGAAGUGUUGUGCUGCAGAUUGGUGGCCAUCCUAUGGAGGGAGGUGGUUCACUCCACGACCUACACGAGUAUGUGAGUCCUGCUGUGCUUAGCUGCGCUCCAUCGCCUAUGAAUCUGGAGUGUAUUGCAGUUGAUUCUUCCUUGUGUAGAAAAUUUCCCAGGUCGAGGAAGACUUCUCCCUGCCGCAUGUCUUCUCAGGUAGGUAUAGUACUUCCGCUAAUCCAUAGACUAAGUCUGGUGACAUCCCAGUUCUUCAACUGAUUAUUUGUGCACAAAUAUAUAUUUUUUCUGUAUUAUCAGCACUGACCCACACAGAUAGAUUUAUUUAACACCAUCCUAAAUGGAAAUUUCCCAUGUCUAUAGUGGUCUGCAUAAUCCCUCGUUUGUGCAAUUUCAGCAUUGUUCUUAUUCACACUUCAAUCAUCUAACUAUUCUCCAUAAACGCUAAUUAUAUCAAUUCAUGCAUAUUUCUUAUUCAUGAUUUCUUAGAUGCCUCUUAUCCAAACUGCCUGAUUUGAUUCUUCUCACUAGGAUACACACUUCAAAAUUACUGCUUCCCGACAAGUACCCUAGCAGCUUUAGAUGCACAAAAUAUCGUUCUUCCAUUGUUAAAUUUAUUAAUAGGUUGAGGGUGGCCAUUUGUUUAGUCAUCUCCACAACUAAUUUCUCUUCCUGACUUGGAGCAAGAGCAUGAGAUUUUGAAUCAUAAUUACAUAUGGCCGAUUACCAUCUUGCCUUCUUGAACCAUAUUCGUGCUAAUCUAUAACCUAAUUUUCAUACUUGUGAACAUCAGUAUCAUUACUGUCCCUUUCCUGGUUUCUUCUGUAUUGAUGCAGAUGAUUCUUUGCUUCAUCUCAAUUAGUGCCCCUCUCCCCUAGACCGAUGCAAAGGAUGAAUGCCGAAGUCAAGUUUUUCAUUUGGCCAUCGGUAAAUGUUGGAUUACAUGGGAUAUAUCUGAUGAGGAUUUCUCAUUUUGAUAUAAAAUCUGAAUAUUGCUGCAGCCUGUAUUCAAAGCUCUUUGUGUUGGUGAAAGCAAAAAAAAAAAUUCUUUAGGACAUUUCGUGUGCUACAGGUGAUGCAUAUUGCACAAAAGAGUUUGAGAUGGCGUGCCGCGUUGGCACCAAUGCUUCAUAACAGGGAAUGGCGGUAGUGUUGGAAUGCUCAGUGGAUGAUUAAGCUCUAUUCUUUAGGUUCCCUUUUCCACUUGCAAACCUUUUUCACCCGCAAAAGGCUCUGCUUUAGUGGGGUUUCCAGAAUAAUAUUUUAUUGUAAACAAAGAAUCACUCUUCAGUUCUUCACUUUGUUUUGAAAAUUUAUUUCUAGCAUAACUUAACAUUUUCGCGGAAACGGCUGUUUGGUUCAAAGCAUUUCAGAUUCUUUAGCUCUAUUCUGCUGUUUGUUUUGUCCGCGGUGUUCUGUUUUCUGUUUUAACAAUGGUACUAAAUUCUUGUAAAUAUCAAUAUUUAGUGCCACUAUUGGUAUUGUUUUGUUUGUAAUGUUUAAACUCGCAUAUUUUAACUGGAUUCACUUGUACUGAGAUAUACUCACUACAAGAGUGGAUGCACUUUUGGAGUCACAUAUUGGGUAAUUAUUAUGCUCGCCUUCGGGAGGAUCUGCUCUGCUGAUGGUAGGUAUUAAGCAUUUUGCUACCACUUUGUAACUACUAUCUUUCUCCCCUCCAUUAUUUGUGCCAGUUAAAAAAAAAUUCCGAUGUUCUCAGUAUUUUUCAUUGAAGGCAAGUGUGAAGUGUUGUGUAGGUGACAUCCAACAGAAUUGUGAAAUUAAUGAUCAUGCUCAGGUCGAUCUGGCAUUUGAACUGAUGAAUAGAGCCUUGAAAAUGAAAGAAAUGAACAAAGAUCUGAAAAUCAGUUACAAGCGUAUUGCUAUGCUGCCCAUGGUAGUGUUAAAGACAAAAUAAGGUGGUAUUUUUAAGAUGGAAAAGCUGGAGGAGUGAAUACACAUCAUGUCUCUUAGCAAGUGUGAUGUUCAGGAUUUGGCUGUGCCUAUUUGGGUUCUUUGUAACCGUACAUGAUACUAGAAUUCUCUUAUGUAUGUGUUAGCUGCUGGAGCACACACAUCGGGUUAUAUAUUUUGGUGGAUAUUAUCAAUUAUUUGUACCAGAUUUCAGAGUAUUCAUAAUUAUUUUGUCAGUACAUAUCAAAGUAUGGUUAUUAGAAGUUGAUGUUUUUGAGAGGUUUAUAACAUGAUGUGGCGUUGUUCUUCAGAUCAUUACCAGUUUGUCAGGCUUGAGCCUGUCAUCACAGACGAUCUCAUUCGUGCAUUGUUUUAUUGUCGAUGCAGACCAAACUGAUGUUGGAGGAUUAGAUCUCAAAUGCAGAUUGGUGUUUGCUUCAUAGUUGGAUUGCUCUUGCGCCAGGUUCAUACUUGCCUCGAUACCUACUGCAUGCCCAACAAGGGUUGCGGGGAUGCCCUUCUCGCGGAGAAGCUGUACAUCACUCUAUGAGUCGUUGCUUCUUAUGCAGACAAUGUACAAGGAAGGCUGUUUAUCCAAGCCGGCGAAGGAAUCCUUAGUUUUGUUUAGUGAGGUCUCGAGCAUAGGUAGCUUCUCCUCCAGAACGGAGAGGGGUAUGUUGAGAGAUCUAGAAAGUGAAAGUAUUUGAAAGUAAUGAGCAGGCCAUACGUCCAGUAGCAGAUGAGGUUUACCCUUGCAGAUCAAACUUCUGUACUCUGUAGUCUGAACAAGGAUGCAGGCACUCACUGUCAGCAGGUUCAAGAUUGGCGCUGACUACGUUAUGUCAGAUGAAUAGGUGAAAUGCCGUAAGUUCUUAA